rnacentral:siRNA from 1 species
AGGCUUUAAGAUCCGGUUGUGGU